rnacentral:rRNA from 1 species
AAGACCUUGCGCUUUUGGAGCGGCCGAUGCCUGAUUAGCUUGUUGGUAGGUAAAAGCUUACCAAGGCUUCGAUCAGUAGCUGGUCUGAGAGGACGGCCAGCCACACUGGGACUGAGACACGGCCCAGACUCCUACGGGAGGCAGCAGUGGGGAAUUUUGGACAAUGGGGGCAACCCUGAUCCAGCCAUGCCGCGUGAGUGAAGAAGGCCUUCGGGUUGUAAAGCUCUUUCAGCCGGAACGAAACGGUUACGGUUAAUACCCGUGAUUACUGACGGUACCGGAAGAAGAAGCACCGGCUAACUACGUGCCAGCAGCCGCGGUAAUACGUAGGGUGCGAGCGUUAAUCGGAAUUACUGGGCGUAAAGCGUGCGCAGGUGGUUUUGUAAGUCAGAUGUGAAAGCCCCGGGCUCAACCUGGGGACU